UUGAGGAAGGUUAUACACUUUCUGAUAUUCUUAAUGAUAUCACUAAGGAAGACCUAAGGUACCUCAGACUACGUGCUGGUCUCCUCUGCAGGCUCUGGACUGCAGACUCCCAGUACAGAAGACAGGCUCAGGGGGCCCCGGCAACCCAAGAUGAGGCUUAAUCAAUCAGCUAAGCCAGGGGACGGAGGGAGCAAAGAGCAGACAACAUACACACGAAUUCUGCUGCACUUACACAAGGAAAACACCACUCGUUCAAUGAACAAUUUAAGAAACUGAAGUUCUGAAGAAUUAUGGAAAAAAUUUUAACCUUUUAUUUACCAACAUGUUUUCAAGGAGAGAAAUGAUGGUUCAGUGUGAACAGGCUUCAGCACCGACAUGCACACGAAUGGGGGCGUGUGUGCACACCAGACCUUCAUUCUACACUCAAAGACUUAUUACGGCUUACUUUGACUAAAUCUACUCUUAAUUAUGCCACACUCCGGGACUGCAGCAUUACCUGCCAGCGUUACCAGGUAGCACCAUUCAAAGCCCAUCCACUAACGACACCACACUCAGUUUUCCCAUGACCAUACCUGACUCCAGGAUCACUCAUGCUGUGUCCAUG